rnacentral:misc_RNA from 1 species
CGGCUGGAUCCCCUCCUUUCUAAGGAAGAACCCUAAUGGAAACGCUCGUUCAUCGAGCCUCUGCCUUUCGGUUCUCUUGGAACAAGACGGAAGAGAGUCACUCUUACCGUCGCGCAUACCUAAAGCGGGUCUGCCGCCUUCGUUUCUCUUUCUUCAGCGAAUGACUUUGGAUCAGCGCUCGCGCGCCGUACCGCAGCCCUUUGGGCUGCUGGCGCUCCGCGAGGGCGCGGCACGAGCCGCGACGGCCACCUGCUAUUCAGAUCUGGCGGCCUUGCGAGGCUUCACCUCGAGGUCAACAGCUUGUUACGGGCAGAGCGCGGUCUUUAGGGCUUGUAGCUCAGUUGGUUAGAGCGCGCGCUUGAUAAGCGUGAGGUCGGAGGUUCAAGUCCUCCCAGGCCCACCAUCUCCGCGCAAUCCGCGAGGAUUGUCGCGAACAGUGCAACCCGAAGGGUUGUCACUUGCCGGUCGAUGCGAUCGGGCACUAUCAGGGGCCGUAGCUCAGCUGGGAGAGCGCCUGCUUUGCAAGCAGGAUGUCGUCGGUUCGAUCCCGUCCGGCUCCACCAAUGCGCGAUCCGCAGGAUCGUCGCUUGCGGCCGCCACGUUGCGGUUUGGCGAGCGCGCGAUCCGCAGGAUCGUCGCGUCGAGGUGUCGAGUAGAGACCAUGAGAAAAAGUCAUCCGUAAAAAGAGUUUGCGGCAAGCUUAAACGCUUUCCGCCUGUUCUGUUUGACAUCGUAAAGAGAAGAUUUGUUCGAACUUCAUGACCCGAAAGGGCCAUGAUUUGUCGCAAGGGACGCUCAAUCCCUUGCCUAUGAUGGGUCUGCCUAACCGCGCCCUCGAACGGAUCUCGAGAAGCUGGUCUUUUUGUGCCAAUUCCAUUUGAGUGAGGCUCGGCACAGAGCUUCGCUGAGGCGACGAUCCCUUCGGGAUCGCGCUUAGCUAAUCCCGCAAGGGGUUUGGCUGAAGCGACGAUUUCUUCGAAAUCGCGCGAUGGGUAUUGGCAAUGAGAACGAUCAAGUGUCUUAAGGGCAAUUGGUGGAUGCCUUGGCAUGCACAGGCGAUGAAGGACGUGAUACGCUGCGAUAAGCUACGGGGAGGUGCGAAUACCCUUUGAUCCGU